rnacentral:rRNA from 1 species
CAGUAGCCGCGGGAAAACGAAGGGGGCUAGCGUUGUUCGGAAUUACUGGGCGUAAAGCGCACGUAGGCGGAUUUUUAAGUCAGGGGUGAAAUCCCGAGGCUCAACCUCGGAACUGCCUUUGAUACUGGAGAUCUUGAGUUCGGAAGAGGUUGGUGGAACAGCUAGUGUAGAGGUGAAAUUCGUAGAUAUUAGCUAGAACACCAGUGGCGAAGGCGGCCAACUGGUCCGAUACUGACGCUGAGGUGCGAAAGCGUGGGGAGCAAACAGGAUUAGAGACCCGCGUAGUCCCUGUCUCUUAUAC